GACGAGACGGAAAGCCGCCGUGUCGACC
rnacentral:sRNA from 1 species